rnacentral:rRNA from 1 species
ACUCAAAGGAAUUGACGGGGGCCCGCACAAGAGGUGGAGCAUGUGGUUUAAUUCGAUGCAACGCGAAAAACCUUACCUGGGUUUGGCAUCCUUUGAACGCUAUAGAGAUAUAGAAGACCCGAAAGGGACAAAGUGACAGGUGCUGCAUGGCUGUCGUCAGCUCGUGUCGUGAGAUGUUGGGUUAAGUCCCGCAACGAGCGCAACCCUUGUCUUUAGUUGCCAGCAUUCAGUUGGGCACUCUAGAGAAACUGCCAACGUUAAGUUGGAGGAAGGUGGGGAUGACGUCAAGUCCUCAUGGCCUUUAUAUCCAGGGCAACACACGUGCUACAAUGGUCGGUACAAAGCGCUGCGAAAUCGCGAGAUGGAGCUAACCGCAAAAAACCGAUCUAAGUUCAGAUUGGAGUCUGCAACUCGACUCCAUGAAGUUGGAAUCUCUAGUAAUCGCGGAUCAGAACGCCGCGGUGAAUACGUUCCCGGGCCUUGUACACACCGCCCGU